rnacentral:misc_RNA from 1 species
AAUUUUCAAUCUAUAAGAUUUAUAAAUAAAUAUAAAUUUUUAUAGACUUGGACUUGGAGGUUGUGCCGGCUUUUAUGUUUUAAAAGUAUGGCUCCUCUUAAAUGUAUUAGCACAAAAGUUUAUGAGUCGCUUACUAGUGUGAUAAUUAUCUAUGCUAUAAGCAUUAAAACUUGUAAAUAGUUUAUAUUAUUGUGCUUCUAAUCUGAUUGAUCCUUUAUAAUAUAAAGAGGAUAAAUCUUAAUAUCUUGAU